UAUUUGGUUUCCAAACCACAAACCAGCGCCUCUUCUCUCUUUCUUCAGCAGUUCUCCCUCUGCCUCUCCAUCUCACCACCGACUGUCACUACCACUGUCGCUGGCCACUGUCCAUCCCCACCGUCGCACGUCGCCACCGCCAUCGCCGAAAUCACCACCAACACUGCCGCAAAUCACAGAGUGAUCCUAUGGCAGUUGUUUACACAAAAGGAAGAGAUGGUGCGCUUCAAGAGCUUGGCCGUACUGAAGCAGUAUUAAAUUCAUUGAAUCCCAAGUGGAUCAGAAAGCAUACCGUGACCUAUCAUUUUGAGGUGGUGCAGACUUUGGUAUGCUUAAGAUGGAUGGGCAGCAAUUCUUGGUAAGGCUAAUUGUACAUUGUCUCAGAUUUCAAAUGGGAGAUUGGUCAGGACUUGGUGCGCACAUCAAAAAUCAGUUUGACAUUUUCCAGCGAUGAUUCAUUUCUUAUUUCUGGUUCAGAAGAUGGCAUGAUCAUUAUUUAGCCUAUGAUCGGGAAAAAUAAAUAACUGACUUUGUAAUCACAUUGUUUGGUGGAAGUUUGGUAGAUGAGACAGAAUGUUUGAUUGUGGCUUUAAAACUAAAUUUUUCGUUGGAGCUUUCAUCCUCUAUAACGGGCCUAUCAACUGCAUCAAGUGGCUCUAGUUCAAUUUUUUUAUCAAGCUCCCUCGAUGGCACAUGCAAGGUAUGGGACCUUGUUACUAGAAGACUUUUACAAACUUGAGCUUUUCCACUACCAAUUACUGCAAUAGUUGUUGAUCUAACAGAGAUGAAGUUAUUUUCUGGUGGUAUAGAUUACUAAUGGAUAUUUCUUUUUUGUAUACGAAGGACAUCAUUUUUGUAUGAUUAUUUGUUUGCAUGGAAUUAUUAUUUUGGGUUGGAUUAUAUUUGGUUUGGAUAGAAUUUGAUGUUACAAUACCAAAUUUUUGGAUGGUUGAAAGUGAAAUAGAA